GUGCACGCUGGCGGUAGGCCUAACCCAUGCAAGUCGAACGGCAGCACAGUAAGAGCUUGCUCUUACGGGUGGCGAGUGGCGGACGGGUGAGGAAUACAUCGGAAUCUACUUUUUCGUGGGGGAUAACGUAGGGAAACUUACGCUAAUACCGCAUACGACCUACGGGUGAAAGCAGGGGAUCUUCGGACCUUGCGCGAUUGAAUGAGCCGAUGUCGGAUUAGCUAGUUGGCGGGGUAAAGGCCCACCAAGGCGACGAUCCGUAGCUGGUCUGAGAGGAUGAUCCGCCACACUGGAACUGAGACACGGUCCAGACUCCUAAGGGAGGCAGCAGUGGGGAAUAUUGGACAAUGGGCGCAAGCCUGAUCCAGCCAUACCGCGUGGGUGAAGAAGGCCUUCGGGUUGUAAAGCCCUUUUGUUGGGAAAGAAAAGCAGCAGGUUAAUACCCCGCUGUUCUGACGGUACCCAAAGAAUAAGCACCGGCUAACUUCGUG
rnacentral:rRNA from 1 species